rnacentral:lncRNA from 1 species
AGUACCCCAGAUACACCAAAGAGCUCGGUGGUGAGAAUGGGUGUUAAUUACAUAAACCUACCUCCAGUGGUGGAAAAACAACUUCUGCUUUGCUUGAGUUGUCAAUAGAAACUUUCAAGAGAUAGAACAUUACUAUAAUCUCAAGCCAAAAGAGCUACUUAGGUUGGUCUGGCUAACCACCGACUCCCUCUGUGUAGACAGAAAGGGAAGAGGCAGAGCCUCGAAGUAAGCUACUGGAGGCAUGUGACAAGUCCUAGUGGGAGGAC